AACACCGAGACCCGGUGACGAGGAAUAUAAAAGGAGUUACUGGUGGUUUCAUCGUCAGUCUGUCUCUGAAAACCCUGAAGAUGAAGUUCCUAUUCGUUCUGUCGCUGAUUAUGAUGAUGGUAGUCAUCGCCACCGCAGCGCCGAGUCCUGGUGCUGGUGUGCCUGGAGUGGAUGAUAUUCCUGGAGCUGGUGAUGUUGUGAACAAGUGGAUGGCUCAAAUGCCCGGACCGCUCGGCAAGUAGCUGCCACAUGUGAAAGAGAUCAUCACAACAGACAACGCUGAUUUUUCAAAUAUUGAUAUGGUUCCUAGCAAAUAAACGUUUAUUUUAUUA